GUGGUUUUUGCCUGGUAUAAUGCAGCACAGGCAAAAAAUUCACAAUUAAAUCCUGUUUUCUCUAUUCAAAGAUGCAGUCUAGCAAGACAGAACUUUUAAA